GAUGAAGAACGUAGCGAAAUGCGAUACUUGGUGUGAAUUGCAGAAUCCCGUGAACCAUCGAGUCUUUGAACGCAAGUUGCGCCCGAAGCCAUUAGGCCGAGGGCACGCCUGCCUGGGCGUCACACGUCGUUGCCCCCCCAUCUACUCCUUCGGGAUUGCGGGGGGCGGCUGAUGGCCUCCCGUGCGCCUCGUCGCGCGGUUGGCAUAAAUGCCAAGUCCUCGGCGACACACGCCACGACAAUCGGUGGUUGCGAAACCUCGGUUGCCCGUCGUGUGCGGUCGUCGCGCAUCGAGGGCUCGAAAAAAUUGCCGGGCUCCGGCUCGGCUUUCAACGCGACCCCAGGUCAGGCGGGGUUACCCGCUGAAUUUAAGCAUAUCAAUAAGCGGAGGA
rnacentral:misc_RNA from 1 species